AGUGAACGCUGGCGGCGUGCUUAACACAUGCAAGUCGAACGAGUAAGUGCUGUAGUAAUACGGAUUACUGCUAGUGGCAGACGGGUGAGUAGUACAUGGGAAUCUACCCUAUGGUGGGGAAUAACAGUUGGAAACGACUGCUAAUACCGCAUAAUGCCGAGAGGCCAAAGAUUUAUCGCCAAAGGAUGAGCCCAUGCAAGAUUAGCUUGUUGGUGGGGUAAUGGCCUACCAAGGCUCCGAUCUUUAGCUGGUCUGAGAGGAUGAUCAGCCACACUGGAACUGAGACACGGUCCAGACUCCUACGGGAGGCAGCAGUGGGGAAUAUUGGACAAUGGGCGCAAGCCUGAUCCAGCAACGCCGCGUGAGUGAUGAAGGUCUUCGGGUUGUAAAGCUCUUUUAAUAGGGAAGAUAAUGACGGUACCUAUAGAAAAAGCCCCGGCUAACUUCG
rnacentral:rRNA from 1 species